AUACGUAGGGGGCGAGCGUUGUCCGGAAUGAUUGGGCGUAAAGGGCGCGUAGGCGGCCUGUUAAGUCUGGAGUGAAAGUCCUGUUUUCAAGAUGGGAAUUGCUUUGGAUACUGAUGGGCUUGAGUGCAGGAGAGGUUAUCGGAAUUCCCGGUGUAGCGGUGAAAUGCGUAGAGAUCGGGAGGAACACCAGUGGCGAAGGCGGGUAACUGGACUGCAACUGACGCGGAGGCGCGAAAGGGUGGGGAGCAAACAGGAUUAGAUACCCUGGUAGUCCACACUGUAAACGAUGAAUGCUAGGUGUAAGAGGUAUCGACCCCUUUUGUGCCGGAGUUAACACAAUAAGCAUCCCGCCUGGGGAGUACGGCCGCAAGGUUGAAACUCAAAGGAAUUGACGGGG
rnacentral:rRNA from 1 species